GAAUUCCACGUGUAGCGGUGAAAUGCGUAGAGAUGUGGAGGAACACCAGUGGCGAAGGCGGCUCUUUGGUCUGUAACUGACGCUGAGGCGCGAAAGCGUGGGGAGCGAACAGGAUUAGAUACCCUGGUAGUCCACGCCGUAAACGAUGAGUGCUAAGUGUUGGGGGGUUUCCGCCCCUCAGUGCUGCAGCUAACGCAUUAAGCACUCCGCCUGGGGAGUACGGCCGCAAGGCUGAAACUCAAAGGAAUUGACGGGGGCCCGCACAAGCGGUGGAGCAUGUGGUUUAAUUCGAAGCAACGCGAAGAACCUUACCAGGUCUUGACAUCCCGCUGACCGGUCUGGAGACAGAUCUUCCCCUUCGGGGACAGCGGUGACAGGUGGUGCAUGGUUGUCGUCAGCUCGUGUCGUGAGAUGUUGGGUUAAGUCCCGCAACGAGCGCAACCCUUGAUCUUAGUUGCCAGCAUUUAGUUGGGCACUCUAAGGUGACUGCCGGUGACAAACCGGAGGAAGGUGGGGAUGACGUCAAAUCAUCAUGCCCCUUAUGACCUGGGCUACACACGUGCUACAAUGGAUGGUACAAAGGGCUGCAAGACCGCGAGGUUUAGCCAAUCCCAUAAAACCAUUCUCAGUUCGGAUUGCAGGCUGCAACUCGCCUGCAUGAAGCUGGAAUCGCUAGUAAUCGCGGAUCAGCAUGCCGCGGG
rnacentral:rRNA from 2 species